CCUAUUAUACAAAGUGUGGCCCAAAAUGCUUUUCACAGCUGACUGAAAAUAGAAAACAAUCAGAGGGGAGAGAGCAGUUAAGAAGUACAGGCAAGGGAGGGAAGAUGUCUCUAGAUGAGAAAUGAAAACACCUGAAGGCUGAAUCAAGAGGAGAGAUACAGGGAUGCUGUUCCAGAGGGCAGGAGCUGCAGAGGAGUAACUCUACAUCUCUGUCAUUGCGUUGCUAUGUCCUCUUGUGUGCUGGUCAUCAUUCUUGGGGGAAUAUUCUUCCAGAGCGCUCGAUUGGUGGAAGCAGGUUCUAGCCCUGGCACAUUGUUAAUGAAAGGCAAACUCCCAGAACUUGGCCAACAAUGGGUCAGAGUAACCAAACAUGAAACCAUACUGAAAUGGCAGCACCCAUUUACAUAGCUGGCUCCUAAAGGAGUGCAAAGGGUACACUGAGCAUUGUUCUGGCCUGCUGAGGAUUGAAUCUACUUUUAGUGUGUUCUGAGCUUUGGAUUACUCUGGGAACAAAUAUUGAAGCAAGCCUGUGUGCUGUGGAUCUGCACAGGAAACACUUUGCUCUACUGCCCUAGGCCCUCACUAUACAAAAUCAGGCUUGCCAGAGUUCAGUUAAUAGUGAUCGGGCGUCAGUGAUAAUAGCAGCAGAUGCUGGCAAGCUAUAGAGCUCCUUUGGCUCAGCAAUGUGGGUUCUGAAAACAAGAAGGCUGGAAUAACAAUGGCAGCACAACACACUUCCCAGAGGUGGGGAGGAACCUGCACCCAGAUCAAACUGUUUUCUGUUUUUUUUUUCCAAAUAAAACCUAUAAUUUGCGAUAGGGGAAUUUUAUAAUUAACUGGUAAUUAUGGUGCCGCUUCAGUUUCUGUUUUUAAUCUUGCAAAUAUAUUUUUACCUCUGGGAUAAUACUGGCAACAUGUACAAUGGCACAAGCAUCUUGCUUUUUACCUGGCUGCUACUGCAAUCUUUUCUGUUUUCUGCUUUUGAAAUAAGCCACUUCGCCUUUGCAAAGUAUCAUUCUGAGGUAACAUGCCAAGAAUUACUCUUUCUAAAUCAGUGCUUAUAUUAGGACCUGGGAGAAAUCAGUUCAGCACAAAGCAAAUGUUGCCCCUCAAAGAGGGAGCCAGUAAUAUCCAGUUAACGUGACCUCCCUAGGAAUUCUGAAUGUGUAGCCGCACCCGUUUGUUGCUCAGGGAGAAGAGCGCCUUCAUUUGGACUGCCCUGAUAUGCUGCUUUCCAACAAAUGUAUGAAGAAGAUGUGAACAGAUGGAUCAGACUGUUUCUUAAUUCAGACGUUUAGUUGAACUAUUGUCUAGAUGGAUUCAUAUAUAACGUGAGGUGUGACAACUGUUCUCAGCUCGCAAGUCUCUCAGUACCAGCGAUAUGGUCUGAGCCCCAUUGAUUGCUGCAUAUAUUUAUUUUUAAAUCUGUGUUUUAUAAAUAAAACUAUUUCCAGCUGAGAAAACCA